AAUUCGAAGCAACGCGCAGAACCUUACUACCCUUGACAUGUCCAGUAUGGUCACCAGAGAUGGAGUCCUUCAGUUCGGCUGGCUGGAACACAGGUGCUGCAUGGCUGUCGUCAGCUCGUGUCGUGAGAUGUUGGGUUAAGUCCCGCAACGAGCGCAACCCUUGCUUCUAGUUGCCAGCAUUAAGUUGGGCACUCUAGAGGGACUGCCGGUGAUAAGCCGGAGGAAGGUGGGGAUGACGUCAAGUCCUCAUGGCCCUUACGGGUAGGGCUACACACGUGCUACAAUGGCGGUGACAGUGGGCAGCGACACAGCGAUGUGAUGCUAAUCCCAAAAAGCCGUCUCAGUUCAGAUUGCAGCCUGCAACUCGGCUGCAUGAAGUUGGAAUCGCUAGUAAUCGCUAAUCAGCAGGUAGCGGUGAAUACGUUCCCGGGCCUU
rnacentral:rRNA from 1 species